UGGUCCUUUAGAAAAUGCAAAAAAAGACAGUAUUAUCAUUGGUGAAUAAAUUAAAAAACAUACAUUUCCUUUUUCUAUAACAAAACCUAAACAACAAUUGCACUUUAACACCUAAACUCAAAUUCAUAAAUGCUCAGUAAAAGAAUUUUAGAUUUCGAACAUACUUGCCAAAUAAUCAUGUCUUACUAAAGGAGCACACAGCAAAAGGUUAAGUAGGAAUACAAAUUAAAACAGUUAAUUAAAAAAAAAA